rnacentral:pre_miRNA from 1 species
GUCAUACUCCCUCCGUCCCAAAAUUCUUGUCUUAGAUUUGUUUAGAUAUGAAUGUAUCUAGUCAAGUUUUAGUAUUUAGAUACAUCCAUUUCUAGACAAAGUUAAGACAAGAAUUUUGAAACGGAGGGAGUAUAUA